GUGUCAGCAGCCGCGGUAAUACGAAGGGGGCUAGCGUUGUUCGGAUUUACUGGGCGUAAAGCGCACGUAGGCGGAUUGUUAAGUCGGGGGUGAAAUCCUGGAGCUCAACUCCAGAAUUGCCUUCGAUACUGGCUUUCUAGAGGCUGGAAGAGGUUAGUGGAAUUCCCAGUGUAGAGGUGAAAUUCGUAGAUAUUGGGAAGAACACCAGUGGCGAAGGCGGCUAACUGGUCCAGAUCUGACGCUGAGGUGCGAAAGCGUGGGGAGCAAACAGGAUUAGAUACCCCCGUAGUCC
rnacentral:rRNA from 1 species